rnacentral:rRNA from 1 species
UACAGAGGGGGCAAGCGUUAUCCGGAUUCACUGGGCUUAAAGGGUGCGUAGGUGGGCUGGUAAGUCAGUGGUGAAAUCUCCGGGCUUAACUCGGAAACUGCCAUUGAUACUAUCAGUCUUGAAUACCGUGGAGGUCAGUAGAAUAUGUCAUGUAGCGGUGAAAUGCUUAGAUAUGACAUAGAAUACCAAUUGCGAAGGCAGCUGGCUACACGAAUAUUGACACUCAGGCACGAAAGCGUGGGGAUCAAACAGG